GUAUUCCAUAUAUUGAAGGAUCUAUAUUUACUAUGACGUUGAAUGAUAAAUCAAUCCUUAUUGUUCUUUCGAGGUAUUCGUGUUUUUUGAAAAAUGUUAUUUUGUUGUGUCUAAGAUCAAUGUCUAGGCCGGACAGGUCAGGAACGACAUGGGGCAUGCUAAUAUAAAGUUGUGAUGUGCAAUUCACCACAACUCUAUUUUUUGAAGGUUGAUCAAAACAGUUACAUCUUACAGGACAUUUUUCUUUUUCUGUUAUGUUGCAAAUCAAUAGGUCUGCAGUAUGAUUUUUCAUCCUGAAAUAUCCUAGGCUGUAGCCCUUCAAAUGAGGUGGGUAAACACAUUUGGGCAUACCCAAUGUAUAGUACUGAUCCAUAGCUUGAGAAGCCAUAACCAAGUAUCCAUCCCACAUUUUACAA